AUUCAAGAAAUUUUAAACAAAAAUUUCAAUUGAUUAAAAUUAAGGAAUUCUAAAUUCUAACUAAAAGGAAAGAAUUUGAAAAUUCUUGUUAUUCUCGUUCGCUCUUUCCUCUUUCCUGUGACCUUUCCUCAAACUCUUGCUCGACUUUCUCUCACUCUCUCGCUCGACCCUCACAUUCACUAUUACUUUCACAAUUCCGUUGCUCUCUGAUCGAUCCGGUGCCGACAGUGGUGCUGCAUUGACGAGCAAAGACAACAUCAGAUUUCACUCCAUUGUUUACUUAGUGAAAACCAUUCUCUUCAUCUUCAAAACCCAAAUCCAAUGAAACUCACUCCAGAUCUCUCGUAGAUCUUGCAACCUCAAAAAGGACAAGCAUGCUGAAGUUGACAUGCCGGCUGCACCAGAAGCUGCUGAGCUCCCAUCCUCGAAUCGAAGUCAAAUGAACUCGUAAGCCGCGGAUUUAGUCAUGGAGGCAAAAUCAAGUGCGGUGAAGGAGCAAGAUAGUUACAAGGAGGUGGCAAACCUUUUGAUGACAAAGGAGACCCACAUAAAGGAAAUUGUGAACCCCAUGCAGCUUUGCAACUAGAUUAACAAGGGGCUGUGACAUGGACUUUUUUUUUGUUAAUUUUGUUUGUAUAGAGGAGAUGUUUGUGUUGUGCUUGCAAACGCAUGAAUGAUGAAUCGUAUUGUGCAGACUACUUGCACAGGUUAGUUUGAAUUUGAUUCAAGUUUGAGGGUUGCGUUGUUACCAAACAAAUAUAAUGUUUGUGCUUAAGAAAUAUUACUAA